CGUAGGUCUCAUAGCUAUUUGUGUGUUAUCCUGAGGUCGAGAGUUCGAGCCUCUCUCACCCCAUUCC
rnacentral:sRNA from 1 species